UCGAGGAUCUUCGGCAAUGGGCGCAAGCCUGACCGAGCGACGCCGCGUGCGGGAUGAAGGCCUUCGGGUUGUAAACCGCUGUCAGUGGGGAGGAAAUGCCGGUGGGUUCUCCCAUCGGUUUGACCUAUCCGCAGAGGAAGUGUGGGCUAAGCUCGUGCCAGCAGCCGCGGUAAGACGAGCCACACAAACGUUAUUCGGAAUCACUGGGCUUAAAGGGUGCGUAGGCUGCGCGGAAAGUGGGGUGUGAAAGCCCUCGGCUCAACCGAGGAAUGGCGCUCCAAACUACCGUGCUCGAGGAAGACAGAGGUAAGCGGAACUGAGGGUGGAGCGGUGAAAUGCGUUGAUAUCCUCAGGAACACCGGUGGCGAAAGCGGCUUACUGGGUCUUUUCUGACGCUGAGGCACGAAAGCUAGGGUAGCAAACGGGAUUAGAUACCCGCGUAGUCC
rnacentral:rRNA from 1 species